UGGGGAAUAUUGCACAAUGGGCGCAAGCCUGAUGCAGCAACGCCGCGUGAGGGACGACGGCCUUCGGGUUGUAAACCUCUUUUAGUAGGGAAGAAGCGAAAGUGACGGUACCUGCAGAAAAAGCACCGGCUAACUACGUGCCAGCAGCCGCGGUAAUACGUAGGGUGCGAGCGUUGUCCGGAAUUAUUGGGCGUAAAGAGCUCGUAGGCGGUCUGUCGCGUCUGCUGUGAAAACCCGAGGCUCAACCUCGGGCCUGCAGUGGGUACGGGCAGACUAGAGUGCGGUAGGGGAGAAUGGAAUUCCUGGUGUAGCGGUGGAAUGCGCAGAUAUCAGGAGGAACACCGAUGGCGAAGGCAGUUCUCUGGGCCGUAACUGACGCUGAGGAGCGAAAGCGUGGGGAGCGAACAGGAUUAGAUACCCUGGUAGUCCACGCCGUAAACGUUGGG
rnacentral:rRNA from 1 species